GCGCCUGUAGCUCAGUCCGGAUAGAGCAACGGACUUCUAAUCCGUAGGUCAGAGGUUCAAAUCCUCUCAGGCGCACCA
rnacentral:tRNA from 1 species